ACGCUCGACACCUACGGGAGGCGGCAGUAGGGAAUCUUCCACAAUGGACGCAAGUCUGAUGGAGCAACGCCGCGUGAGUGAAGAAGGUUUUCGGAUCGUAAAGCUCUGUUGUUGGUGAAGAAGGAUAGAGGUAGUAACUGGCCUUUAUUUGACGGUAAUCAACCAGAAAGUCACGGCUAACUACGUGCCAGGAGCCGCGGUAAUCUGAGCGGGCUGGCAAGGC
rnacentral:rRNA from 1 species